rnacentral:misc_RNA from 1 species
GAUUUUUAAAAAUUUAUUUAAAUAUCACAUGGCAAGUUUGAAAAUAUUUUUGGACUGCAUAAAUUUUUAUGAGUUUUAUAUAAUUUUUUUUGGAAUUUUUGAGCCUCGUUUUGGGUCCUAGGUUAGAGCAAAAAUUAAAUUUUGAAUGCUCUAAAUCAAACCGAUCGGAUCGGAUCAAUUGAAUCGAACUAGUCCUUUCCUUUUUCUUUUCCCUUCUCCUUCCCGUGUGUCGGACUCUGCCCCUUCCCUCUUUCUUUUCUCUCUCCUCUCUUCUCGCCAGCAUACCACCGGUGCCCUUCCCCUACCACUGCCACCCCUUUUUCCGGCUAGAAAACGUGCCCCAACUCUCCCUUUUCACCCGCGCGCCGUUUCACCUUUCCUUGCUAUUUUCGGUGAUUUCAGUAGCUAAUCGGAUCGGGUCUUGUUUUCUUUUUG